AUUGAACGCUGGCGGCGUGCCUAAUACAUGCAAGUCGAACGCAGUGGGGACGGGUGAGUAACACGUGGGUAACCUCCCAUCAGAGGGGAUAACACUUGGAAACAGGUGCUAAACCGAUCCUGAUGGAUGGACCCGCGUUGCAUUCGCUCGUUGGUGAGGUAACGGCGUACCAAGGCCCGGAUGCAUAGCCGACCUGAGGGGGGGAUCGGCUAUACUGGGACGGAGACACGGCCCAGACUCCUACGGAAUGCAGCAGUAGGGAAUCUGCGGCAAUGGACGAAAGUCUGACCGAGCAACGCCGCGUGAGUGAAGAGGGUUUUCGGAUAGUAAAGCUCUGUUGUUAAGGAAGCGGUACUUAACCAGAAAGGGACGGCUAACUACGUGCCAGCCGCCGCGGUAAUAC
rnacentral:rRNA from 1 species